UACGUAGGGUGCAAGCGUUGUCCGGAAUUAUUGGGCGUAAAGAGCUCGUAGGCGGUCUGUCGCGUCUGCUGUGAAAACUCAGGGCUUAACCCUGAGCUUGCAGUGGGUACGGGCAGACUAGAGUGCGGUAGGGGAGACUGGAAUUCCUGGUGUAGCGGUGAAAUGCGCAGAUAUCAGGAGGAACACCGAUGGCGAAGGCAGGUCUCUGGGCCGAUACUGACGC
rnacentral:rRNA from 1 species